CGGAUGUCACCGAGACGCUGGAGGAACUUGCUAGGGUUUCACAAGAACGCCUAUAAAUAUGUAAAUAUGUAGACAUAAGCAGCGAUACACAGCUCGCAAUCCCUCUUAGGUUAUGGUUUCGUUUCGACUUCUCUUAGGUUAUGGUUUCGUUUCGACUUCCUCUGUUAGUUCCUCUCGCUCUCCCUUUCUCUCUGUGUUUGUGACUCUGUACCUCUUUUUUUGUUUUUUUUCUUUUGAGAUUCUUGGCUGCUUCAAUCUGCACGAUGCACUACCCCGGGCUUCUCUGAAUGAGUAAUCAAUCGAUGACGACGAAAGCCCCAUUGCUCGUGCCAAAACGAUCCGACGUCAAGUGUUGCAGUUCAGCCAUUCUCUUUCUCCACGGCUGAGCUGUGUCAAAUCGACGCCCACAUCUCAAUCUCUCUCUCUUUCUCUCUCGAGAAUAAAGCUGUUACUUCUUUCCUUAAUCUUUGCCUCGCUACACCUUUAGCUUGUUUUAUUGUUAUAGAUAGCGAUAUGAAAACAAGGCUAGUCAUUGAGGCAGAUAUUGAUUGCUCUUUGGCGGUUUUCACGUGGGGGUUUAUUUCUUUCAAUGGUUUUGCCUCUAAAAAUAUCCGCUACAGGAGUGAGUUCUAAUCUACAAAUCGGCAGUGAUGAUGAAAUUUCAGCUUUAAAUGCCAGUUCUGCUUCUGAAGAUUCUUGAUUGAUAGAGCUGUUAUGUGAUCUGAGCCCAUCAAUACAUCAUAUAUGCCAAUUAAUGUUUUCUCAGCUUUUUGUGUUGAAACUGGUUUCAUCUCUUCGUUACAAGUGUUGGUUUUAUUCUAUUAUUUUGUUUGUGUGCUUUAUUUCGUUCAUCGGAUUGGCGUAUUUAUUUAAUUCAAUGAUGACUGUCCACAUACAUGAGAUUAGUUAGCUUCAAGCCCCUGUUUACAGGGAGAACCUACUUGAGGCUGCUAUAUCAUUACUUGAAAUUACUGGACCAUUCUGAGAAUACUCUUGCCAAAUCCAGACAAAUUCUGUCAUUUUCAAGUUCUCGUUCAAUUGUAUCUUAUACUUUUGGUCUUGAUGCCUUUAGGAUGCCAAUGAUGACCCAACUCUUUUGAGGUGUUGUGGAGCCAAUUCCUUGCCUUGCAAGGAGAACCUAGUUGGUGAAGCUACAUUUGAAAUGAUAAUUCAAGGGAUUUAACUGAGGCUCUUACCUAAAUUGAAUUUUAAUUAUAUUAAUGUAUGUUCGUCACUUUUUGGAAUUUUAAAAGAUUUAGGGAAUUUUGUUCUUUUGAAAUUCUGUUAAUUCUUCUUUAAGCGAGCUUGUUUUUGGCUCUAUUUCCUCUCUUUAGUCAUGUUGAUAUGCUUUAUGAUUUGGUGUUUGAUCGAUGGCCAAUGAUGUUACUUACAAUCCAACUUGUAUUUGGUACGCAAGAGCCAAGUCCCCCCCAUCUUAUGGGGAGAACCUACUUGGUGAAUCUGCGUUUCCAAUGACUGAAAAUACAGAAACUGAGGUUCCUGAUUUCUAUCUUCUUCUCUGUUGCCUUUGUCAGCUUAGAAUGUAGAACUGCUUUUGCGGUAACUAUAAGUGUACUACUACAUAUUUCUCUGCCAAUUCUAUUUUCAUAUCGAGUUUUAACUAUACACUAGCCCCCUAAUGGGUCUAGGGUCUGAAAAACUCGGAAAUUCUGUGUGGUCAUCAGCUUCUUCUCUUGUACAUUACGAGACUGGAGUUAAAUAACGGCACUAUAUUCCUGACUUGUAGUACUAAUUCCUUGUGUAAUUCUGGGUUUUGGUUGUUUUUUGUUUUUUAUCUAUUAUAUUUUUGUAUUUAGGCAUAUAUUAAUUAAUAAUUAUAUUCUAAGUAUAAACAAUUAUAUUUUAAAUGGUCCUAAUAUCAUAAAAUCUUAAAUAUUCGUUUCAUUUGUCGUUCAACUAAUUUCUUUUGCUACUCUUUCGUCUAGCAGUAUGACCCCCAAAUGAGUGAUCCAAAUGCAACCUCUUUUGUCUGCCUUGAUUGUGAUUGUUUUGUAGCGCUUUUUUACCUCAUAGAAGCAAGUUCCAACUCGAUAUUAAUCACAUCGACCGCACCAUCACCCCUGGCGACAGUACACAUCUUGCCACUACUGGUCGUGUCAGACACAUGCAGAUUACAAGACGUGGCAAGGUUGAAUUGGUCCAUGCAUUGAUACUACGCCAUGACUCCAUUUCUUAUUAUGUAUAAAAUCGCUAGUAGAUUCAAGCGACAUAUAUUAGGUCUAUUUAUCUUUUAUAAUUGAAUUUUAAUAUAUAAAUUUUUUGGUUAAA